rnacentral:rRNA from 1 species
AUGUGUAUCCUCUGUAACAAAGUAUUAUGUGUAGUUUGCCCUUUUUUUCCGACCGCUCUGUUGUGCAAACAAAAUGCAGCUAGAAGAGAAAUGCUUGACAUGGUUAGCGAGGUUCGCCUAUCGAGUUGGGCGACAUGUUCUUUGGCAUUUGCAAGGGCCAGCCGAAUUGCCUUUUAUUUUUUUAUUUUGAGGUUCAACGCAUCACGCGAUGCAAUUACACACGCAACGACGGAGUUUAUCUUCUUCUUUUUUUCAGAAUCUCAGGAGACACAAUCAAUCGCCAAACCGUCGACAACCAAUGGCAGCCCACCUGAUUGA